AUUGAACGCUGGCGGAAUGCUUUACACAUGCAAGUCGAACGGCAGCAUAGGUGCUUGCACCUGAUGGCGAGUGGCGAACGGGUGAGUAAUACAUCGGAACGUGCCCAGUCGUGGGGGAUAACGUAGCGAAAGUUACGCUAAUACCGCAUACGAUCUACGGAUGAAAGCGGGGGACCGUAAGGCCUCGCGCGAUUGGAGCGGCCGAUGUUAGAUUAGGUAGUUGGUGGGGUAAAGGCUCACCAAGCCGACGAUCUAUAGCUGGUCUGAGAGGAUGAUCAGCCACACUGGGACUGAGACACGGCCCAGACUCCUACGGGAGGCAGCAGUGGGGAAUUUUGGACAAUGGGCGCAAGCCUGAUCCAGCCAUUCCGCGUGCAGGACGAAGGCCUUCGGGUUGUAAACUGCUUUUGUACAGAACGAAAAGCCUUGGGUUAAUACCCUGGGGUCAUGACGGUACUGUAAGAAUAAGCACCGGCUAACUACGUGA
rnacentral:rRNA from 1 species